UACGGAGGGUGCAAGCGUUGUCCGAAUUUAUUGGGUUUAAAGGGUGCGCAGGUGGGUAUUUAAGUCUGGUUUGAAAGCAGGUGGCUCAACCAUCUGAUGUGGCUGGAAACUGGAUAUCUUGAAUGGGUUGGCGGUAGCCGGAAUGGGUCAUGUAGCGGUGAAAUGCAUAGAUAUGACCCGGAACACCGAUUGCGAAGGCAGGCUACUACGACUUGAUUGACACUGAGGCACGAGAGCAUGGGUAGCGAACAGG
rnacentral:rRNA from 1 species